rnacentral:rRNA from 1 species
UACGGAGGGUGCGAGCGUUGUCCGGAAUCAUUGGGCGUAAAGGGCGCGUAGGUGGCCCGGUCAGUCUUUGGUGAAAGCGCGGGGCUCAACCCUGCGUCGGCCAGGGAUACUGCCGCGGCUCGAGCACUGUAGGGCGGGUGGAAGUUCCGGGUGUGAGCGGUGGAAUGCGUAGAGAUGCGGAGGAACGACGAUGGCGCAGGCAGCCCCCUGGGACGUACACC